UAUAAUGUGCCUGAAGUUAAAGGGCUGUCUUGAUAGGACAGAUAAUGUUUAUUAAACCAUUAUAA
rnacentral:tRNA from 1 species